UUGGAGGGCAAGUCUGGUGCCAGCAGCCGCGGUAAUUCCAGCUCCAAUAGCGUAUAUUAAAGUUGUUGCAGUUAAAAAGCUCGUAGUUGAACUUCGGGGUUCACCCAUUGGUCAGGCUUAAUUGUCUGUACUGGUGAGAUGGAUCUCUACCUUCUGAGGAACUUUCAUGCCAUUUAUUUGGUGUGAUUGGAAAUCGGGACUGUUACUUUGAAAAAAUUAGAGUGUUUAAAGCAGGCUAACGUCUGAAUACAUUAGCAUGGAAUAAUGAAAUAGGACGGAUUGAUUCUAUUUCGUUGGUUUCUAGGAUCACCGUAAUGAUUAAUAGGGAUAGUUGGGGGCAUUAGUAUUCAAUUGUCAGAGGUGAAUUUCUUGGAUUUAUUGAAGACUAACUACUGCGAAAGCAUUUGCCAAGGAUGUUUUCAUUAAUCAAGAACGAAAGUUAGGGGAUCGAAGACGAUCAGAUACCGUCGUAGUCUUAACCAUAAACUAUGCCGACUAGGGAUCGGACGCAGUUAAUUUUAUAAUGACGUGUUCGGCACCUUACGGGAAACCAAAG
rnacentral:rRNA from 1 species